UUGAACGCUGGCGGAAUGCUUUACACAUGCAAGUCGAGCGGCAGCGCGGGGCAACCUGGCGGCGAGCGGCGAACGGGUGAGUAAUGCAUCGGAACAUGUCCAUGGAUGGGGGAUAGCCCGGCGAAAGCCGGAUUAAUACCGCAUGAGCCCGAGAGGGGAAAGUGGGGGACCGCAAGGCCUCACGUCGAUGGGUUGGCCGAUGCCCGAUUAGCUAGUUGGUGAGGUAAUGGCUCACCAAGGCGAUGAUCGGUAGCUGGUCUGAGAGGAUGAUCAGCCACACUGGGACUGAGACGCGGCCCAGACUCCUACGGGAGGCAGCAGUGGGGAAUUUUGGACAAUGGGGGCAACCCUGAUCCAGCCAUUCCGCGUGAGUGAAGAAGGCCUUCGGGUUGUAAAGCUCUUUUGUCCGGAACGAAACGGUUUGCGUGAAUAGCGCCGACUACUGACGGUACCGGAAGAAUAAGCACCGGCUAACUACGU
rnacentral:rRNA from 1 species